CGAUGCUUCAUUCAAAUAUCUGCCUAUCAACCUUCGAUGGUAGGAUAGAGGCCUACCAUGGGGGACGGGUAACGGAGAAUAAGGGUUCGAUUCCGGAGAGGGAGCCUGAGAAACGGCUACCACAUCCAAGGAAGGCAGCAGGCGCGCAAAUUACCCAAUCCCGACACGGGGAGGUAGUGACAAUAAAUAACAAUAUAGGGCUCUAUUGGGUCUUAGGGAUUGGAAUGAGUACAAUUUAAAUCCCUUAACGAGGAACAAUUGGAGGGCAAGUCUGGUGCCAGCAGCCGCGGUAAUUCCAGCUCCAAUAGCGUAUAUUAAAGUUGUUGCAGUUAAAAAGCUCGUAGUUGAACCUUGGGCCUGGCUGGCCGGUCCGCCUCACCGCGUGGCACCUGGUCCGGCCGGGUCUUUCCUUCUGGGGAGCCGAUGCCCUUCACUGGGUGUGUCGGGGAACCAGGACUUUUACUUUGAAAAAAUUAGAGUGUUCAAAGCAGGCCUAUGCUCGAAUACAUUAGCAUGGAAUAAUAGAA
rnacentral:rRNA from 1 species